rnacentral:rRNA from 1 species
CUAUCAUUAACUGAAUCCAUAGGUUAAUGAGGCGAACCGGGGGAACUGAAACAUCUAAGUACCCCGAGGAAAAGAAAUCAACCGAGAUUCCCCCAGUAGCGGCGAGCGAACGGGGAGCAGCCCAGAGCCUGAAUCAGUAUGUGUGUUAGUGGAAGCGUCUGGAAAGGCGCGCGAUACAGGGUGACAGCCCCGUACACAAAAAUGCACAUGCUGUGAGCUCGAUGAGUAGGGCGGGACACGUGGUAUCCUGUCUGAAUAUGGGGGGACCAUCCUCCAAGGCUAAAUACUCCUGACUGACCGAUAGUGAACCAGUACCGUGAGGGAAAGGCGAAAAGAACCCCGGCGAGGGGAGUGAAAAAGAACCUGAAACCGUGUACGUACAAGCAGUGGGAGCACGCUUAGGCGUGUGACUGCGUACCUUUUGUAUAAUGGGUCAGCGACUUAUAUUCUGUAGCAAGGUUAACCGAAUAGGGGAGCCGAAGGGAAACCGAGUCUUAACUGGGCGUUAAGUUGCAGGGUAUAGACCCGAAACCCGGUGAUCUAGCCAUGGGCAGGUUGAAGGUUGGGUAACACUAACUGGAGGACCGAACCGACUAAUGUUGAAAAAUUAGCGGAUGACUUGUGGCUGGGGGUGAAAGGCCAAUCAAACCGGGAGAUAGCUGGUUCUCCCCGAAAGCUAUUUAGGUAGCGCCUCGUGAAUUCAUCUCCGGGGGUAGAGCACUGUUUCGGCAAGGGGGUCAUCCCGACUUACCAACCCGAUGCAAACUGCGAAUACCGGAGAAUGUUAUCACGGGAGACACACGGCGGGUGCUAACGUCCGUCGUGAAGAGGGAAACAACCCAGACCGCCAGCUAAGGUCCCAAAGUCAUGGUUAAGUGGGAAACGAUGUGGGAAGGCCCAGACAGCCAGGAUGUUGGCUUAGAAGCAGCCAUCAUUUAAAGAAAGCGUAAUAGCUCACUGGUCGAGUCGGCCUGCGCGGAAGAUGUAACGGGGCUAAACCAUGCACCGAAGCUGCGGCAGCGACGCUGAUGCGUUGUUGGGUAGGGGAGCGUUCUGUAAGCCUGCGAAGGUGUGCUGUGAGGCAUGCUGGAGGUAUCAGAAGUGCGAAUGCUGACAUAAGUAACGAUAAAGCGGGUGAAAAGCCCGCUCGCCGGAAGACCAAGGGUUCCUGUCCAACGUUAAUCGGGGCAGGGUGAGUCGACCCCUAAGGCGAGGCCGAAAGGCGUAGUCGAUGGGAAACAGGUUAAUAUUCCUGUACUUGGUGUUACUGCGAAGGGGGGACGGAGAAGGCUAUGUUGGCCGGGCGACGGUUGUCCCGGUUUAAGCGUGUAGGCUGGUUUUCCAGGCAAAUCCGGAA